rnacentral:sRNA from 1 species
UACAUAGUAGUAGUACCUCAAUGUAAA